rnacentral:rRNA from 1 species
GGAGAUAGCUGGUUCUCCCCGAAAGCUAUUUAGGUAGCGCCUCGUGAAUUCAUCUCCGGGGGUAGAGCACUGUUUCGGCUAGGGGGCCAUCCCGGCUUACCAACCCGAUGCAAACUGCGAAUACCGGCCGUUGCCGUCCGGUUGGGGUACUGAAAAUGACCGACGAAUCCGGUGAAGAUGCGAAACUGGUUGCCGUACCGCACACCAAACUGAGCAAAGAGUACGAUCACAUUAAAGAUGUGAACGAUCUGCCAGAACUGCUGAAAGCGCAGA